rnacentral:rRNA from 1 species
CCUACGGGAGGCAGCAGUGGGGGAUCUUGCACAAUGGGGGAAACCCUGAUGCAGCGACGCCGCGUGUGGGAAGACGGUCCUCUGGAUUGUAAACCACUGUCCCCAGGGACGAAGAUGACGGUACCUGGGGAGGAAGCUCCGGCUAACUACGUGCCAGCAGCCGCGGUAAUACGUAGGGAGCGAGCGUUGUCCGGAAUUACGGGGUGUCAAGGGAGCGUAGGCGGGACUGCAAGUUGGGUGUCAAAGCUACAGGCUCAACCGGUAGCCGCACUCAAAACUGCAGUUCUUGAGUGAAGUAGAGGCAGGCGGAAUUCCUAGUGUAGCGGUGAAAUGCGUAGAUAUUAGGAGGAACACCAGUGGCGAAGGCGGCCUGCUGGGCUGUUACUGACGCUGAGGCUCGAAAGUGUGGGGAGCAAACAGGAGUAGAUACCCGGGUAGUC